rnacentral:rRNA from 1 species
GACGAACGCUGGCGGCGUGCCUAACACAUGCAAGUCGAACGGAAGUAAGUUUUCGGAUUUACUUUAGUGGCGAACGGGUGAGUAACGCGUGAGGAACCUGCCUUUCAGUGGGGGACAACAGUUGGAAACGACUGCUAAUACCGCAUAACAUAUUCGGACCGCAUGAUCUGAAUAUCAAAGCUUUAUGUGCUGAAAGAUGGCCUCGCGUCUGAUUAGAUAGUUGGUGAGGUAACGGCCCACCAAGUCGACGAUCAGUAGCCGGUCUGAGAGGAUGAACGGCCACAUUGGGACUGAGAUACGGCCCAGACUCCUACGGGAGGCAGCAGUGGGGAAUAUUGCGCAAUGGGGGAAACCCUGACCCAGCAACGCCGCGUGAAGGAAGAAGGCCUUCGGGUUGUAAACUUCUAAUUACCAGGGACGAAGGUCACGGACGGUACCUGGAGAAAAAGCAACGGCUAACUACGUGCCAGCAGCCGCGGUAAUACGUAGGUUGCAAGUGUUGUCCGGAUUUACUGGGUGUAAAGGGCGUGUAGGCGGAGAUGCAAGUUGGGAGUGAAAUCCCGGGGCUCAACCCCGGAACUGCUUUCAAAACUGCAUCCCUGUGAGUAUCGGAGAGGCAAGCGGAAUUCCUAGUGUAGCGGUGAAAUGCGUAGAUAUUAGGAGGAACACCAGUGGCGAAGGCGGCUUGCUGGACGACAACUGACGCUGAGGCGCGAAAGGUGGGGGAG